AUUUUUUCUAACCUAAUAUUAUAAUAUUAAAAAUUAUUUAACUAAAACUAAAAACGUUCUAAAUUUUACUAUUAAAAUCAAGUAAACCUGUAUGAAGUACAUAGGUCAAUCAAUUUGAAAAAAUUAUGUAUUUGAGAUUUCAAAUAAUUCUGUCUUUUGUUCGAAUUUUGUACAUAAGUGGGAAAUUUUUAACAUAGAGAAGAUAAGAAAAAAUCUUAAGACAUGAUGAAAGAACGUUAUAUUUGUGUGCGAAUUUACGAUACAAUAUGGCAAAAUUAGAACUAUUUGUGUGUAAAAGUAACGUGUAUAUUUAAAGUAUCAUCUGACAUAUUGUAAUAUUUCGAUAAUUUCUUACAAUGUAUUGAAAGCUAUAAUGAAUUAAUUUACCAAAAAA